rnacentral:rRNA from 1 species
UACGUAGGGGGGCAAGCGUUGUCCGGAUUUAUUGGGCGUAAAGAGCGUGUAGGCGGCCAGGUAGGUCUGCUGUGAAAACUCGAGGCUCAACCUCGAGACGUCGGCGGAAACCAUCUGGCUAGAGUCCGGAAGAGGAGAGUGGAAUUCCUCGGUGUAGCGGUGAAAUGCGCAGAUAUCAGGAAGAACACCCGUGGCGAAGGCGGCUCUCUGGGACGGUACUGACGCUGAGACGCGAAAGCGUGGGGAGCGAACAG